rnacentral:lncRNA from 1 species
AACGUUAUGAUGAGUGAAUUUUUCAGUCUUGUUUCACAACUUAAGGCAUUUUGGGAAAUUUUGCUCUAUCUAUUUCAGCACACAGGGAUUAGACCCAAGGAUGGCUGCAUCUCUCUUGGGAUAUUUUUCUGAUCCACAGUCCUUGGAGGAGAGAUUGGGUCCAGCACCGACCAUUUUAAAAGAACACCAAUUUUUUUACACUGCCAUCUGCACCGCGGCAGGAAAGGCCUGCAUUGUCUGUCAGUGCAAGCCCCUUGACAACAAUCCCUGUGUAGAGGCGUUGAUGACAAUACCAUUUGAACUUCCCACACUACGUUCUUUUAUGGUUUAAAGUUUUUGUCCAUGUGCCAAAAAAAACAUGAGCAUCAGAAACGGUCAGAAAAUGGUAAGAAACUCAAAGGAAAGCAGCAAAGAAGAAAGGACAAUAAAUUAAAGAACAACACCUUGCA